rnacentral:rRNA from 1 species
UACGUAGGGGGCAAGCGUUGUCCGGAUUUAUUGGGCGUAAAGAGCGUGUAGGCGGUUUGGUAGGUCCGUUGUGAAAACUCGAGGCUCAACCUCGAGACGCCGAUGGAAACCAUCAGACUAGAGUCCGGAAGAGGAGAGUGGAAUUCCUGGUGUAGCGGUGAAAUGCGUAGAUAUCAUUUGGAACGCCAAUGGUGAAAACAGGUAGCUGGGAGUGUGCUGACACUGAGACACGAAAGCCAGGGGAGCGAACGGG